rnacentral:misc_RNA from 1 species
AUUAUAAAAUAGUAUUUAAAAUCAGUUGUCAGCCACAUGUGGUCUAUAUGAUGCAACAUGUUUGCAAUUGUUGGCAUGUCAUUUAAAAAUAUCAAUGCUGAUAAAACUGAAUUUUUUUAAAAAAAGAGUUAUUCCAGCCUUCCAACCAAAUAUUAGAGACUUUUAAAAAAGCACUCUCACA